rnacentral:lncRNA from 1 species
UAAAUGAGAAUGAAGUUGGUUGCUCCCUUGAGUGUACCAGGCUGGAUGUACUGAGGCAGAGUUUGGAUCUCUGAAGUCUCCAUCUGGCUUUGUGGGUCUUUAGUGCUGGGAUUAUGCAGUGACACCCCAAAUAUACACAUGCUUCAUCGGAGGCAGAGUCACCUCUGCUGCAUGGCUUUAUUUUAAAGGUGAGAGACAUUGUGAC